rnacentral:lncRNA from 1 species
GGGCUUGCUGGCUUAGCUGGCGUCGAGCUGAAGGUGACGCUGGCGAAGACACAAACGAAAGAUGGAGCAGGGAAGCAGCUGCGAUGGAGUCUUCGAGCGGAUGAAGUCCACGGCGUUAAUGGGCUGAAGAAAUCGAGUAAAGGGACUUCGGUGGUGGUGAGUCACGGACGGUGGCAGCUUCUGCCGUGAGCUGCUUCAAGGAGUUUCGGUGGGGUGUGGCUUCGGUUGCUGCACCCGGUGGUCAACUAAGGAGAGGGAGAGCUU